CCCAACUAUCCCUAUUAAUCAUUACGUCAAUCCUAGAAACCAACAAAAUAGGUUCGAACGUCCUAUUUCAUUAUUCCAUGCUAAUGUAUUCAGGCGCUGGCCUGCUUUAAACACUCUAAUUUUUUCAAAGUAACAGUCCUGUUUCCCCGCAACACCAAAUUAAUGGCAUUACGGUUCUACAAGAAGGAGGAAUCAGCAAGCUAGUACAUACCAGUGGCAAGACCAACCUGCUGAUCCCGAAAUUCAACUACGAGCUUUUUAACUGCAACAACUUUAAUAUACGCUAUUGGAGCUGGAAUUACCGCGGCUGCUGGCACCAGACUUGCCCUCCAA
rnacentral:misc_RNA from 1 species